rnacentral:snRNA from 1 species
AGCUUUGCCCAGUGGCGAUAUCGUAACCAAUGAGGUUCAACCGAGAAUCGAUUAUUGCUAGUAGAAAACUAAAAUAUCAGCUUUUGGAAGCUAAAUGCCUGUCUGCAGUGUAAUAACACAUUUGUAACGAAGUAAUUUG